UGCGUAGGCGGGCCGAUAAGUCGGAUGUGAGAUCUCACAGCUUAACUGUGAGUCGCCAUUCGAAACUGUCGGUCUUGAGUGCAGGAGAGGAAAGUGGAAUUCCUGGUGUAGCGGUGAAAUGCGUAGAUAUCAGGAGGAACACCGGUGGCGAAGGCGGCUUUCUGGACUGACACUGACGCUGAGGCACGAAGGCCGGGGGAGCAAACA
rnacentral:rRNA from 1 species